AGGCACGUAGCUCAGCGGGAGAGCACUACCUUGACACGGUAGGGGUCGGCGGUUCAAUCCCGCCCGUGCCUACCA
rnacentral:tRNA from 1 species